rnacentral:rRNA from 1 species
AUUGAACGCUGGCGGCAGGCCUAACACAUGCAAGUCGAGCGGAUGAAGGGAGCUUGCUCCUGGAUUCAGCGGCGGACGGGUGAGUAAUGCCUAGGAAUCUGCCUGGUAGUGGGGGAUAACGUCCGGAAACGGGCGCUAAUACCGCAUACGUCCUGAGGGAGAAAGUGGGGGAUCUUCGGACCUCACGCUAUCAGAUGAGCCUAGGUCGGAUUAGCUAGUUGGUGGGGUAAAGGCCUACCAAGGCGACGAUCCGUAACUGGUCUGAGAGGAUGAUCAGUCACACUGGCACUGAGACACGGUCCAGGCUCCUACGGGAGGCAGCAGUGGGGAAUAUUGGACAAUGGGCGAAAGCCUGAUCCAGCCAUGCCGCGUGUGUGAAGAAGGUCUUCGGAUUGUAAAGCACUUUAAGUUGGGAGGAAGGGCAGUAAGUUAAUACCUUGCUGUUUUGACGUUACCAACAGAAUAAGCACCGGCUAACUUCGUG